AUACGGAGGGUGCAAGCGUUGUCCGGAUUUAUUGGGUUUAAAGGGUGCGUAGGCGGCCCGUUAAGUCCGGGGUGAAAGCCCACUGCUCAACAGUGGAACUGCCCUGGAUACUGGCGGGCUUGAGUCCAGACGAGGUUGGCGGAAUGGAUGGUGUAGCGGUGAAAUGCAUAGAUACCAUCCAGAACCCCGAUUGCGAAGGCAGCUGACUAGGCUGGUACUGACGCUGAGGCACGAAAGCGUGGGGAGCGAACAGGAUUAGAUACCCUGGUAGUCCACGCCGUAAACGAUGGAUACUCGCUGGUGGCGAUAGAUAGUCACUGGCUUAGGGAAACCGGUAAGUAUCCCACCUGGGGAGUACGCUCGCAAGAGUGAA
rnacentral:rRNA from 1 species